ACUCAAAUGAAUUGACGGGGGCUCACACAAGCGGUGGAGCAUGUUGCUUAAUUCGAUGCAACGCGAAGAACCUUACCUGGGUUUGACAUGGCCGGAUUAGCUCCCGGAAACGGGAGUAACACCCGCAAGGGUGGAACGGUCACAGGUGCUGCAUGGCUGUCGUCAGCUCGUGCUGUGAAGUGUCGGGUUAAGUCCCUUAACGAGCGCAACCCCUGUCGUUAGUUGCUCGGCGCAAGCCAGUACUCUAGCGAGACUGCCGCUGUAAGGCGGAGGAAGGUGGGGAUGACGUCAAGUCCUCAUGGCCCUUAUGUCCAGGGUUGCAAACGUGCUACAAUGGCGCGCACAAAGCGACGCGAGGCCGCGAGGCGGAGCAAAUCGCAAAAAACGCGCCCCAGUUCGGAUUGCAGGCUGCAACUCGCCUGCAUGAAGUCGGAAUCGCUAGUAAUCGGAGAUCAGCUACGCUCCGGUGAAUGUGUUCCUGAGCCUUGUACACACCGCCCGU
rnacentral:rRNA from 1 species